rnacentral:rRNA from 1 species
UACGUAGGGAGCAAGCGUUGUCCGGAAUCAUUGGGCGUAAAGAGCGCGUAGGCGGUCCGGUAAGUCGGUUGUGAAAACUGGGGGCUCAACCCUCAGACGCCGACCGAUACUGUCGGGCUAGAGUCCGGAAGAGGCGGGUGGAAUUCCUGGUGUAGAGGUGAAAUUCGUAGAUAUUAGGAAGAACACCAGUGGCGAAGGCGGCUCACUGGCCCGGUACUGACGCUGAGGCGCGAAAGCGUGGGGAGCAAACAGG